GGGUCCCUACGGGGGGCAGCAGUGGGGGAUAUUGGACAAUGGGGGGAGCCCUGAUCCAGCGACGCCGCGUGAGUGAAGAAGUAUUUCGGUAUGUAAAGCUCUGUCAGCAGGGAAGAAAGCAAUGACGGUACCUGACCAAGAAGCCCCGGCUAACUACGUGCCAGCAGCCGCGGUAAUACGUAGGGGGCAAGCGUUAUCCGGAUUUACUGGGUGUAAAGGGAGCGUAGACGGCAGCACAAGUCUGGAGUGAAAUCCCGGGGCUUAACCCCGGAACUGCUUUGGAAACUGUGCGGCUGGAGUGCAGG
rnacentral:rRNA from 1 species